ensembl:antisense Mypopos Myb-related transcription factor, partner of profilin, opposite strand
GGGUUGCAGGCAGGAGCUUGGACAAGGGUAGAUUUCACGGAGACUUCCAGCGGCCCCGCCUCUUUCGUGUAGGGAAACCUUUCCUCCUUUUGUGUGGGGACACCUCAAACUCACUACUGAACGGAGUUCGUCAUCCAUCCCUGCCUCAGAAGAUGGCAGCUCCAUCGUCCAGGUGCUGGGGCUGAAAUAAAACUCCAUCAUCCCUCAUUCUUUUCCUAUCCUGGAGUUGGACCAAAGAUUCAUUCAGGUUAUGUAAGCUCUACCACCUAAGGAGUCGUCGUGCUACCUGCUGCUUUCCCAGUCCAGGGAUGGGACUCCAGGCCUUAUACAUAGGGUCUCCAAAAGACUGACACUGGUACUUAGUGCAUACAGCCCAAGGUAGGCCCUGGGCUCCCAGAUUCUCCUACCUCAGACCUCCACAGUAGCUGGGAAGAAAGACCA